UACGUAGGGUGCAGGCGUUACUCGGAAUUACUGGGCGUAAAGCGUGCGCAGGCGGUCUACUAAGACAGGUGUGAAAUCCCCGGGCUUAACCUGGGAACUGCGCUUGUAACUGGUAGGCUUGAGUGUGGCAGAGGGGGGUGGAAUUCCAGGUGUAGCAGUGAAAUGCGUAGAUAUCUGGAGGAACACCGGUGGCGAAGGCGGCAUUCUGGACCGAUAUUGACGCUGAGGAGCGAAAGCCAGGGGAGCAAACGGG
rnacentral:rRNA from 1 species